rnacentral:rRNA from 1 species
GGAAUAUUGGGCAAUGGAGGAAAUUCUGACCCAGCGACGCCGCGUGCGGGAUGAAGGCCUUCGGGUUGUAAACCGCUUUCAGUAGGGAAGAAGCGAAAGUGACGGUACCUACAAAAGAAGCACCGGCUAACUAUGUGCCAGCAGCCGCGGUAAUACAUAGGGUGCAAGCGUUGUCCGGAAUUAUUGGGCGUAAAGAGCUCGUAGGUCGUUUGUUACGUCGGAUGUGAAAACCUGAGGCUCAACCUCAGGCCUGCAUUCGAUACGGGCAAACUAGAGUUUGGUAGGGGAGACUGGAAUUCCUGGUGUAGCGGUGGAAUGCGCAGAUAUCAGGAGGAACACCAAUGGCGAAGGCAGGUCUCUGGGCCAAUACUGACACUGAGGAGCGAAAGUCUGGGGAGCGAACAGGAUUAGAUACCCUGGUAGUCCAGACCGUAAACGGUGGGCACUAGUUGUGGGAACCUUCCACGGUUUCUGCGACGCAGCUAACGCAUUAAGUGCCCCGCCUGGGGAGUACGAUCGCAAGAUUAAAACUCAAAGGAAUUGACGG